rnacentral:rRNA from 1 species
UACGUAGGGUGCAAGCGUUGUCCGGAUUCAUUGGGCGUAAAGAGCUCGUAGGCGGCUUUGUAAGUCGGGUGUGAAAACCCCAGCUCAACCUGGGGACGCCACUCGAUACUGCAAUAGCUAGAGUCUGGUAGGGGAUCACGGAAUUCCUGGUGUAGCGGUGAAAAUGCGCAGAUAUCAGGAGGAACACCGGUGGCGAAGGCGGUGAUCUGGGCCAGUACUGACGCUGAGGAGCGAAAGCGUGGG